AUACGUAGGGUGCAAGCGUUAAUCGGAAUUACUGGGCGUAAAGCGUGCGCAGGCGGUUUUGUAAGACAGUGGUGAAAUCCCCGGGCUCAACCUGGGAACUGCCAUUGUGACUGCAAGGCUGGAGUGCGGCAGAGGGGGAUGGAAUUCCGCGUGUAGCAGUGAAAUGCUUAGAUAUGCGGAGGAACACCGAUGGCGAAGGCAAUCCCCUGUGCCUGCACUGACGCUCAUGCACGAAAGCGUGGGGAGCAAACAGGAGUAGAUACCCUGGUAGUCCACGCCCUAAACGAUGUCAACUGGUUGUUGGGGAUUUAUUUUCUCAGUAACGAAGCUAACGCGUGAAGUUGACCGCCUGGGGAGUACGGCCGCAAGGUUAAAACUCAAAGGAAUUGACGGGG
rnacentral:rRNA from 1 species